AAAAACAACCAAUUGGGCCACGCAAAACGACUUUUGCAACAUGAUACAUUACAAAUUGGAACAUAAUACCUGUCGUACAUAAUACUGAAAUAAACAUACCAAAUAUCUGAGCUUGGGUAUACGGGGAAACCCAACCUCUAGGGAAAAUGGGUGAUAUGGCUAAAUUUACCGAA
rnacentral:ribozyme from 1 species